rnacentral:rRNA from 1 species
UACGUAGGUGGCAAGCGUUGUCCGGAAUUAUUGGGCGUAAAGCGCGCGCAGGCGGUCCCUUAAGUCUGAUGUGAAAGCCCACGGCUCAACCGUGGAGGGUCAUUGGAAACUGGGGGACUUGAGUGCAGAAGAGGAAAGUGGAAUUCCACGUGUAGCGGUGAAAUGCGUAGAGAUGUGGAGGAACACCAGUGGCGAAGGCGACUUUCUGGUCUGUAACUGACGCUGAGGCGCGAAAGCGUAGGGAGCAAACAGG